rnacentral:rRNA from 1 species
UGGAAAAAUAUUUAAAGCGUAACAAGGUUUCCGUAGGUGAACCUGCGGAAGGAUCAUUUCAGUAUUCUUUUGCCAGCGCUUUACUGCGCGGCGAAAAACCUUUCACACAGUGUCUUUUUGAUACAGAACUCUUGCUUUGGUUUGGCCUAGAAAUAGGUUGGGCCAGAGGUUUUACAAAACACAAUUUUAUUUUUUUUUUUGAUAGUCAAAUUUUGAAUUUAUCUUCAAAACUUUCAACAACGGAUCUCUUGGUUCUCGCAUCGAUGAAGAACGCAGCGAAAUGCGAUAAGUAAUAUGAAUUGCAGAUUUUCGUGAAUCAUCGAAUCUUUGAACGCACAUUGCGCCCUCUGGUAUUCCAGAGGGCAUGCCUGUUUGAGCGUCAUUUCUCUCUCAAACCCCCGGGUUUGGUAUUGAGUGAUACUCUUUGUCGAACUAGGCGUUUGCUUGAAAAGUAUUGGCAUGGGUAGUACUGGAUAGUGCUGUCGACCUCUCAAUGUAUUUGGUUUUUCCAACUCGUUGAAUGGUGUGGCGGGAUAUUUCUGGUAUUGUUGGCCCGGCCUUACAACAACCAAACAAGUUUGACCUCAAAUCAGGUAGGAAUACCCGCUGAACUUUAGCAUAUCAAA